UAGCAUUUGAAAUGUGAAUGAAUGGAAUGC
rnacentral:piRNA from 1 species